GACGAACGCUGGCGGCGUGCUUAACACAUGCAAGUCGAACGGAAAGGCCCUGCUUUUGUGGGGUGCUCGAGUGGCGAACGGGUGAGUAACACGUGAGUAACCUGCCCUUGACUUUGGGAUAACUUCAGGAAACUGGGGCUAAUACCGGAUAGGAGCUCCUGCUGCAGGGGGGGGGUUGGAAAGUUUCGGCGGGUGGGGAUGGACUCGGGGCUUAUCAGCUUGUUGGUGGGGGAGUGGCUUAGCAAGGGUUUGACGGGUAGCCGGCCUGGGAGGGUGACCGGCCACAUUGGGCCUGAGAUACGGCCCAGACUCCUACGGGAGGCAGCAGUGGGGAAUAUUGCACAAUGGGCGGACGCCUGAUGCAGCAACGCCGCGUGCGGGAUGACGGCCUUCGGGUUGUAAACCGCUUUCGCCUGUGACGAAGCGUGAGUGACGGUAAUGGGUAAAGAAGCACCGGCUAACUACGUG
rnacentral:rRNA from 1 species